GUGGGCAUAGCUCAGUGGUAGAGCGCGUGCUUAGCAUGCGCAAGAUCCCAGGUUCAACCCCCAGUACCUCCA
rnacentral:tRNA from 1 species